GAAACAGGGCAUUAAAAAAGAAAACGUUUAAAUAGAAAACUUGAGAAUAUGUUAAAUAAAAUUUAAAGAAGGUUUGAACAUUGCAAUGGGCAGGACAAGACUCCACCCCAUGGUCUCCAGUCCUGGGCUGGUACCUGAGUAGCGGCCAGUGCCCCAGCGCCUGUCGGGACUGGUCCAGUCCUCACUGCAAGAUGCGUGAGCCCAAGGUCCAUGAUCCAGGCAAGGAGGAGGGUGAGCCGCGCUGCUUAUUUCCUCUCUGUAGAACCCCACUCUUGGGACCAGGGGAAAACAUCCAGAGAGAAGAAUCCAGAAAGCG